rnacentral:rRNA from 1 species
GUGGGGAAUCUUGCGCAAUGGGCGAAAGCCUGACGCAGCCAUGCCGCGUGAAUGAUGGAGGUCUUAGGAUUGUAAAAUUCUUUCACCGGGGACGAUAAUGACGGUACCCGGAGAAGAAGCUCCGGCUAACUUCGUGCCAGCAGCCGCGGUAAUACGAAGGGGGCUAGCGUUGCUCGGAAUUACUGGGCGUAAAGGGCGCGUAGGCGGACAGCUUAGUCAGAGGUGAAAGCCCAGGGCUCAACCUUGGAAUUGCCUUUGAUACUGGCUGUCUUGAGUUUGGGAGAGGUGAGUGGAACUCCGAGUGUAGAGGUGAAAUUCGUAGAUACUCGGAAGAACACCAGUGGCGAAGGCGGCUCACUGGACGACUGUUGACGCUGAGGUGCGAAAGCGUGGGGAGCAAACAGGAUUAGAUACCCCGGUAGUCC